UUAAGAGUCCCACAUCGGUUAGGAGUUGGUCUGACAAUUUGUUUAUAAGUGGGGGCAAUCCUCACCUCACAAGCCGGUUUUGUGGGGUUGUGUUAGGCCCAACCACGAUUUUUAAUAUGGUAUCAGAGCCUCUUCACGAUUGUUUGGGCCACCUGUUAUCAGGUUUCCGUUAUCGGGCCACCCGUCAUUUAUGUUCACG
rnacentral:lncRNA from 1 species